rnacentral:rRNA from 1 species
UACAGAGGGGGCGAGCGUUAUUCGGAAUUAUUGGGCGUAAAGGGCGCGUAGGCGGCCUUUCAAGUGACGGGUGAAAUCCCUCGGCUUAACCGAGGAACUGCCUGUCAGACUGGAAGGCUUGAGACCGGGAGAGGUGAGUGGAAUUCCCAGUGUAGCGGUGAAAUGCGUAGAUAUUGGGAGGAACACCAGUGGCGAAGGCGGCUCACUGGACCGGCACUGACGCUGAGGCGCGAAAGCGUGGGGAGCAAACAGG